rnacentral:rRNA from 1 species
GAUGAACGCUGGCGGCGUGCCUAAUACAUGCAAGUCGAGCGAAUGGAUUAAGAGCUUGCUCUUAUGAAGUUAGCGGCGGACGGGUGAGUAACACGUGGGUAACCUGCCCAUAAGACUGGGAUAACUCCGGGAAACCGGGGCUAAUACCGGAUAACAUUUUGAACCGCAUGGGUCGAAAUUGAAAGGCGGCUUCGGCUGUCACUUAUGGAUGGACCCGCGUCGCGUUAGCUAGUUGGUGAGGUAACGGCUCACCAAGGCAACGAUGCGUAGCCGACCUGAGAGGGUGAUCGGCCACACUGGGACUGAGACACGGCCCAGACUCCUACGGGAGGCAGCAGUAGGGAACCUUCCGCAAUGGACGAAAGUCUGACGGAGCAACGCCGCGUGAGUGAUGAAGGCUUUCGGGUCGUAAAACUCUGUUGUUAGGGAAGAACAAGUGCUAGUUGAAUAAGCUGGCACCUUGACGGUACCUAACCAGAAAGCCACGGCUAACUACGUGCCAGCCGCCGCGGUAA